rnacentral:lncRNA from 1 species
CACCACAAGCGAAAAUCAUCAUCGAUUAGUUCCAACACAAUCCUAUUCCAAAUAUUUUCAAUUCCAAUUUUGGAUUCUUCUAAUUUUAUUCUGGAUAAUUCAACUCCAAUUUUGGAUAUUUUGAAAUCAUCUUCGAUCUCUUUUUCCUUGUAUUGACAAUGAAACUAUUAUGACAUGUUUUCAAAGUAUGAAACUUCGUCUUGGACAAAUUUAGUCUUUGUAGCUUGCAAUGUUGUUUGUAUAAAGAUUAUGAAUAAAAAGUUAGUAGUUUAUCGUUUAAUUUUUUAAUGUUACUUUCGUCUAAUUUUUUUAAACUUUUUUUUUAUUAAAACCACUCGAUAUAUAUUAAAAUUCUAAAUCCGCCACUGUACGAGUGGCUAUAAAAUGUGUCUCAUCUCUCAAGUUUUAUUUCCUCUUCGUUCUUUUUGGGAAGUCUCAUCUAUUUUCUUCCAUUUUCCUGUUGUUUCCUCUUUAAACGAUUGUUGUUUGUGAUUUGCUUUAUGCAUUAUGAUUCACUAUGUAAAAUGUGAACCUCAAUAUACAACGAUUGCAUCACGAUAAAUGACACGUUAGAAGAAAUUGAAUUUUAAGUCUAAUAUAAUCUUAACUCAUUAUCUCACUUUUACCUGCAUGACCAAUUAAGAGCUAACCUUAAAGUGUGCAUUUUUGCUCACCCACACUAAUUAUAGAGUAUGCUCACCACCAAUUUCAAUGUUUGCUAUGUGUAAUCCACACUAACUCUAGUUAAGCCUCUCUAUUUUUUUCGCUUUAAUUAGUAGAAGUGAGAAUCUACUUUUACUCAUUUACUUCCAUAUAUAUAUCCUUUCUUUUUAAUUUUUUUAUUAAAACUUAAAAAAUCACCUUUUUGAAUACAAACAGACUCAACUAAUUCCAAUUUAAAAACAUAAACACAAACUUACAACCCCAAUGUCGAUUACACCUUCAUAGUAAUUGUUUUUUGUAAACUUCCAUGACUUAGAUCCUUACUAUUGUAUGAUCAUGUAAGGAGUUUUUAUCAUAAAUAGGAUUUGUAACUAGUUGGAGAUUAUGGUAAUCAAAAUAUGUGUAAUCAAACUUUUAUGGUAAUUAAAAUAUGUGAGCUUGAUCUUCCAUCUACAUAUGAUUCUAACUUUAUAUGGAUAUACGAAUAAUAUCAAAUCACUUCGUCAAUAUCCAACAAAAACUAAUUUCAGUGACAAAACUAAUAGGACAAAUGAUGUCAUUCAAAAUACAGUUGUUUUAUUUGAAACUCGUCAAAAUAAAAUUGUACAAAAAGCUAGUCCAAAAAUACUAUUGUUUCAGAUGAAACUCAUCAAAAUGAAAUUGUACAAAGCUAGUAGGAUGAAUAUUCUCCACUUCAAAGGAUGUCGUUCCAAAAAAAAUUCUCUAAAUUCUAUUACAACUUGAUCUAAGGUGUUUAUGGAUUUGAAAAAUUCAGUUCAUGAGUGGUUCCCAGAGGUAUUGGUUGAAUGUUUGAUGUUGAUGGAUUUGAAAAUUUUAGUUGAGGAGUGAUUCCCAGAAAAAAAUGGUACACUAUAUAUAUAUAUAUAUAUAGUACAUUUAGUGAAGAUACAAAUAAAUUAGUAAUUGGACAUCAUGGGACUUAUAGCUUGAAAUCCAAGUUGGUGAUUUUGAAUCCCUUGAAUUGGCAAAUUUUGAAUCCCUUGCACACAAGGAACAAUUGGAAAUCCAUAAGGAAAAUGUGUGACUUGACUUACGGGUGCCAUAUUGAAUUGGUUUUGACUUGGCAUUCCAACAUGAUCCUAGAUACCAAUUCCAAUUGAUAAAUCAGAAAUAUAUUAAAACAAUGCUAAUGAACAAAAAUAUAAAUAAAUAAAUAAAAUAUGGGUAAAUUACAUAGUAGCCCCUCAGGUUUGAGGUCUAUUACAACCCCAUACAACAACUUUAAAACAUUUCACUUUCAUACAUCCAGUACCAUUUUAUUUCAAAAUAACACCUCCGUUAGAUUUUCCAUCCAUUAGUCUGUUAAAUGCUGACGUGGCAGCCACAUUUGUGCUGAUGUGGCUGCCACAUGGAAAAAAAAUAUUUUUUAUACAUUAAAAAUAUUAUAAUAUUAACCCAAUUAAAAAAAAAAAAAACUAGAAAAUCUUGAAACCCAGAUCCCUUCUCCCCCCCCCCCCCCCACCCUUCCUUCUGCAACUCCCAAAAUCCACUAUUCUCCCCGCAACCCCCAAACCCAUAUACCCCAUCUUCAUCUUCUUCCCUGCAACCCAGAAAUGAUAACCCCCCACCCCACCCCACCCGCAUCCCUCACCCUAAAACCAGAAACCCAAAACACCCCCGCGCCCCCCUUAACCCGCGACCCUCCCUGUGCACCCCCCUAACCCGCGACCCUCCCUCCCUCCGCACCCACUCUCUUUCCUUCUUUACACACCCUCCGAACCCAGAUCCUCUUUCUUCCCAUUCUCCUAUCUGCAAUCCCUUCCCACUAUCCCUCACCCACCCACCCCCAACGACCUCACCCCCCUACCCACAUACCUGCAACAACAAAAAAAGAAGAAGAAGAAGAGGGAAGAAGAAAAAAAAAGAAACCCCCCCGGCCUUGCCGCGACCCUCGACCCACGACCCACGACCCACCUCCCUUCCCCCCGCUCCGCCUCAACCCGCGACCCACUUCCCUUCCCUUCCCCCCCCCACCCGCAGCCCGACCGCGACCCGCGACCCACGACGACCCACUUCCCUUCCCUUCCCCCCCACCCCUAUACCCCCCUCUCACGCGACCUUCUGGCGACCUUCCCGCGAACUGGGCUAUUUUUUUUCUCCCUCUUCUUUUUCUUAUUCUUCUUGCAGGUUUUGAGGGGGGGACGAACUGGGGUUUUUUUUUUUCCUCCCUCUUCUUCUUCUUCUUCUUCUUCUUGUUGGAGGUUUUUGGGUUCUAGGUUAGGGAUAAAGAUGUGGGUCACUUGGGGGGAGGUCGCUGGGGGGUGGGUGAAGGAUAGUGGGAAGGGAUUGCAGAGAGGAGAGGGGGAAGAAAGGGGAUCUGGGUUAGGGUUUUUAUGUUUUUUUUUUUUAAUUGGGUUAAUAUUAUAAUAUUUUUAAUGUAUAAAAAAUAUUUUUUUUUCCAUGUGGCAGCCACAUCAGCACAAAUGUGGCUGCCACGUCAGCAUUUAACAGACUAAUGGAUGGAAAAUCUAACGGAUGUGUUAUUUUGAAAUAAAAUGGUACUGGAUGUAUGAAAGUGAAAUGUUUUAAAGUUGUUGUAUGGGGUUGUAAUAGACCUCAAACCUGAGGGGCUACUAUGUAAUUUACCCAUAAAAUAUUCAUGACAAAAAAUUGCUAAACUUUAAACCAGAGUUUAUGCAUAUCUUGUUGAUAGUCCGUUCAUCUCAUAUGCAUUUGAAUUGGAUUCUUUAAAAGCUAUUAAACAAUUAAAAUAAUAAUUACAUUGACAAAUGCAAAUUGUGAAUCAAAUAGUAAAUAAAAACAAGCUAAAUAAGUGCUAACCUUUUCUCUUGUAUGGACCUUUCUUUUUUAGGUUGAUUAGAUUCCAAAGCACUCUUCAUUCUACCUUUUGCCCCGACCUUUGGACUUCUGAACU